UACACUCCUGCGGGAGGCAGCAGUGGGGAAUUUUGGACAAUGGGCGAAAGCCUGAUCCAGCCAUGCCGCGUGCAGGAUGAAGGCCUUCGGGUUGUAAACUGCUUUUGUACGGAACGAAACGGCCUUUUCUAAUAAAGAGGGCUAAUGACGGUACCGUAAGAAUAAGCACCGGCUAACUACGUGCCAGCAGCCGCGGUAAUACGUAGGGUGCAAGCGUUAAUCGGAAUUACUGGGCGUAAAGCGUGCGCAGGCGGUUAUGUAAGACAGUUGUGAAAUCCCCGGGCUCAACCUGGGAACUGCAUCUGUGACUGCAUAGCUAGAGUACGGUAGAGGGGGAUGGAAUUCCGCGUGUAGCAGUGAAAUGCGUAGAUAUGCGGAGGAACACCGAUGGCGAAGGCAAUCCCCUGGACCUGUACUGACGCUCAUGCACGAAAGCGUGGGGAGCAAACAGGAUUAGAAACCCUAGUAGUCCCA
rnacentral:rRNA from 1 species